GACAGAGGGUGCAAACGUUGUUCGGAAUUACUGGGCGUAAAGGGCUCGUAGGCGGCCAACCAAGUCGGACGUGAAAUCCCCAGGCUCAACCUGGGAACUGCGUCCGAUACUGGAUGGCUUGAAUUCGGGAGAGGGAUGCAGAAUUCCAGGUGUAGCGGUGAAAUGCGUAGAUAUCUGGAGGAAUACCGGUGGCGAAGGCGGCAUCCUGGACCGACAUUGACGCUGAGGAGCGAAAGCUAGGGGAGCAAACGGG
rnacentral:rRNA from 1 species